rnacentral:rRNA from 2 species
CGGACGAACGCUGGCGGCGUGCCUAAUACAUGCAAGUCGAACGAACUCUGGUAUUGAUUGGUGCUUGCAUCAUGAUUUACAUUUGAGUGAGUGGCGAACUGGUGAGUAACACGUGGGAAACCUGCCCAGAAGCGGGGGAUAACACCUGGAAACAGAUGCUAAUACCGCAUAACAACUUGGACCGCAUGGUCCGAGUUUGAAAGAUGGCUUCGGCUAUCACUUUUGGAUGGUCCCGCGGCGUAUUAGCUAGAUGGUGGGGUAACGGCUCACCAUGGCAAUGAUACGUAGCCGACCUGAGAGGGUAAUCGGCCACAUUGGGACUGAGACACGGCCCAAACUCCUACGGGAGGCAGCAGUAGGGAAUCUUCCACAAUGGACGAAAGUCUGAUGGAGCAACGCCGCGUGAGUGAAGAAGGGUUUCGGCUCGUAAAACUCUGUUGUUAAAGAAGAACAUAUCUGAGAGUAACUGUUCAGGUAUUGACGGUAUUUAACCAGAAAGCCACGGCUAACUACGUGCCAGCAGCCGCGGUAAUACGUAGGUGGCAAGCGUUGUCCGGAUUUAUUGGGCGUAAAGCGAGCGCAGGCGGUUUUUUAAGUCUGAUGUGAAAGCCUUCGGCUCAACCGAAGAAGUGCAUCGGAAACUGGGAAACUUGAGUGCAGAAGAGGACAGUGGAACUCCAUGUGUAGCGGUGAAAUGCGUAGAUAUAUGGAAGAACACCAGUGGCGAAGGCGGCUGUCUGGUCUGUAACUGACGCUGAGGCUCGAAAGUAUGGGUAGCAAACAGGAUUAGAUACCCUGGUAGUCCAUACCGUAAACGAUGAAUGCUAAGUGUUGGAGGGUUUCCGCCCUUCAGUGCUGCAGCUAACGCAUUAAGCAUUCCGCCUGGGGAGUACGGCCGCAAGGCUGAAACUCAAAGGAAUUGACGGGGGCCCGCACAAGCGGUGGAGCAUGUGGUUUAAUUCGAAGCUACGCGAAGAACCUUACCAGGUCUUGACAUACUAUGCAAAUCUAAGAGAUUAGACGUUCCCUUCGGGGACAUGGAUACAGGUGGUGCAUGGUUGUCGUCAGCUCGUGUCGUGAGAUGUUGGGUUAAGUCCCGCAACGAGCGCAACCCUUAUUAUCAGUUGCCAGCAUUAAGUUGGGCACUCUGGUGAGACUGCCGGUGACAAACCGGAGGAAGGUGGGGAUGACGUCAAAUCAUCAUGCCCCUUAUGACCUGGGCUACACACGUGCUACAAUGGAUGGUACAACGAGUUGCGAACUCGCGAGAGUAAGCUAAUCUCUUAAAGCCAUUCUCAGUUCGGAUUGUAGGCUGCAACUCGCCUACAUGAAGUCGGAAUCGCUAGUAAUCGCGGAUCAGCAUGCCGCGGUGAAUACGUUCCCGGGCCUUGUACACACCGCCCGUCACACCAUGAGAGUUUGUAACACCCAAAGUCGGUGGGGUAACCUUUUAGGAACCAGCCGCCUAAGGUGGGACAGAUG